CGGGGCAAUGCGCUGGCUAUACAUGCAGUCGAACGAGAUCUUCGGAUCUAGUGGCGCACGGGUGCGUAACGCGUGGGACUUUUCCCUUGGGUUCGGAAUAACUUCUGGAAACGGAAGCUAAUACUGGAUGAUGACGUAAGUCCAAAGAUUUAUCGCCCAAGGAUGAGCCCGCGUAGGAUUAGGUAGUUGGUGAGGUAAAGGCUCACCAAGCCGACGAUCCUUAGCUGGUCUGAGAGGAUGAUCAGCCACACUGGGACUGAGACACGGCCCAGACUCCUACGGGAGGCAGCAGUAGGGAAUAUUGGACAAUGGGCGAAAGCCUGAUCCAGCAAUGCCGCGUGAGUGAUGAAGGCCUUAGGGUUGUAAAGCUCUUUUACCCGGGAUGAUAAUGACAGUACCGGGAGAAUAAGCUCCGGCUAACUCCGUGCCAGCAGCCGCGGUAAUACGGAGGGAGCUAGCGUUGUUCGGAAUUACUGGGCGUAAAGCGCACGUAGGCGGCUAUUCAAGUCAGAGGUGAAAGCCCGGGGCUCAACCCCGGAACUGCCUUUGAAACUAGAUAGCUUGAAUCCAGGAGAGGUGAGUGGAAUUCCGAGUGUAGAGGUGAAAUUCGUAGAUAUUCGGAAGAACACCAGUGGCGAAGGCGGCUCACUGGACUGGUAUUGACGCUGAGGUGCGAAAGCGUGAGGAGCAAACAGGAUUAGAUACCCUGGUAGUCCACGCCGUAAACGAUGAUAACUAGCUGUCAGGGCACAUGGUGUUUUGGUGGCGCAGCUAACGCAUUUAGUGAUCCGCCUGGGGAGUACGGUCGCAAGAUUUAAAACUCAAGGAAUUGACG
rnacentral:rRNA from 1 species